rnacentral:siRNA from 1 species
UGGAUGUCACGCGUGUAAUUAUG